UGCUGCAUAUUUCCAUUUUGAAUUUAUCAUACGUUUUAAACCUAUCCCUGAAAAACCUUGCACUUGGAUAAUAUUAGUAUAAACACCAUGUCUAUUUGUGCCAACCUUCCAAAUUUUUAAUAUUUUGCUAUCCUAAUUUGGAACAGAUCCUUUAUCCUCAAAACUUAUCAGGGGAAGUAGGCGUGUUUGUAUGGUAGUUCGUCACACCUUACAUGUAUGAUUACUAGCCUCCAGGUAUUGGUUUGAGCCCUAGUUGGGCAGUUGCAAAAUUAAGGUUUGAUUUUCAUGUCAUAUGUGAUAAGGUUAGUCAGUUUCCUCCCACAGGUUGGCAUUUUCCUUCAAGUACUACGGUUUAGUACGGCACUAAAACUGACUGCCAUGAAAUUACCCAUAUGGUGUAGAAAGUGAUGUUUAUAAAACCAAAGCAAACAAUCAAAGUUUUAAAUCUUUGUCCAUUUGUACAAGGAGCCGUAGUGGUUGAGCCAUUUAACUUAUGGUAAUUUUACCAAACUGUGACCACAACUUCAAGAUGUGACAUCAGGCCUCUGUUCAAUGGGCAGUCCCACAAUAAAAGUUCAAUUUUCACGUCAUACAUUUUAUAUGGUUAAUUUGUCAGUUUCCUGCCUCAGUUCUGUGUUUUUUUCUGGGUACUUUGGUUAACUUUGCCAAUAAAACUGACUGUCUUACAUGAAAUUAUCCAUAUGAUGUAGAAUGUGACAUUGAUGGUUGACCCCUUUCAAAGAAACCACCAGCAUGUACACACAACAAUGCUGCAAUGCUUUAGACAACAUUGAUCUAGAGACUUCAUGAUUUACAUGUAUAAGGCUUUUAAAUGUAAAAAAAAAAAAAAAAAAAAAAAUCCCUACCUACCUACCCACCUGCUGAUAGUGUGGGUCGGCAAUGCCAAACAAAC
rnacentral:lncRNA from 1 species